AGUGAACGCUGGCGGUAGGCCUAACACAUGCAAGUCGAACGGCAGCACAGUAAGAGCUUGCUCUUACGGGUGGCGAGUGGCGGACGGGUGAGGAAUACAUCGGAAUCUACUUUUUCGUGGGGGAUAACGUAGGGAAACUUACGCUAAUACCGAAUACGACCUACGGGUGAACGCAGGGGAUCUUCGGACCUUGCGCGAUUGAAUGAGCCGAUGUCGGAUGUGCUAGUUGGCGGGGUAAAGGCCCACCAAGUCGACGAUCCGUAGCUGGUGUGGGAGGAUGAUCAGCGACACUGGAACGGAGACACGGUCCAGACUCCUGCGGGAGGCAGCAGUGGGGAAUAUUGGACAAUGGGGGCAAGCCUGAUCCAACCAUACCGCGUGGGUGAAGAAGGCGUUCGGGUUGUAAAGCCCUUUUGUUGGGAAAAAAAAGCAGCAGGUUAAUACCCCGCUGUUCUGACGGUACCCAAAGAAUAAGCACCGGCUAACUUCGUG
rnacentral:rRNA from 1 species